GUGUUGUAUAAAAGAAGAAAGGCUUAGGAACCCUCAUGAUAAGAAUGGAGAAAUUCCUAAUGGACUUUUCUACAUACACACAUUGUUAAUCUAUCGUCUCCUACUUCGUGGCAUCUGAUAAUGCUUUUUU
ensembl:snRNA